rnacentral:rRNA from 1 species
GUAGGGAAUCUUCGGCAAUGGACGAAAGUCUGACCGAGCAACGCCGCGUGAGUGAAGAAGGUUUUCGGAUCGUAAAACUCUGUUGGUAGAGAAGAACGUUGGUGAGAGUGGAAAGCUCAUCAAGUGACGGUAACUACCCAGAAAGGGACGGCUAACUACGUGCCAGCAGCCGCGGUAAUACGUAGGUCCCGAGCGUUGUCCGGAUUUAUUGGGCGUAAAGCGAGCGCAGGUGGUUUAUUAAGUCUGAUGUAAAAGGCAGUGGCUCAACCAUUGUGUGCAUUGGAAACUGGGAGACUUGAGUGCAGGAGAGGAGAGUGGAAUUCCAUGUGUAGCGGUGAAAUGCGUAGAUAUAUGGAGGAACACCGGAGGCGAAAGCGGCUCUCUGGCCUGUAACUGACACUGAGGCUCGAAAGCGUGGGGAGCAAACAGGAUUAGAUACCCGAGUAGUCC